AGUUCCCGUAUGAGCACCGAAGUUAAGCAACGUCGAGGCUGGUCAGUACCUAGAUGGGUGACCGUUUGGAAAUACCAGGUGCCGUAAG